rnacentral:lncRNA from 1 species
UUAGCAAAAAUAAUUUUAUUGCAUGUUCUUCAAGUGUCUUAAAGUUAGGGAGCUUUAAAAGCCUUGUUGAACCAAGGAAUUCAAAAAUAAUUUAUCGCGUAAGCCAUGCCAUCUUUUGUAAUUCUUUUAGUUUUUACAGUUACCUUGAAUUUGUAUUCCAUAUUAUUGGGUGUAGUUUCAAGUAGGGAGGGUAAAUUAAGUGGUUAAGCUUUCUGGUAUUACAUUGUGCAAGGUUCCAGGAGUUAAAACGAUGCUUGCUCAUUCCCCGUCGUGUCACCCCCUC